rnacentral:lncRNA from 12 species
CUUUCUUCAUCUGCAAAGUGGAGAGAAUAAUUUCUAUCAUACCAGAUUACUCUAAGGUUAAAAAUAAAUAUAUUAUCCAUUAAAAGCCUCACAAACUAUAAUGUAGCGUACACUCAUAAGAUAAUUUUAUUGUGGCUCUCUUUCACAUAGAAGAGAAAGACUAGCAGGCUCACUAAACACAACAUUACAAUAUAAAUACUUGAAUGAACAACCUAGAUGUCUUUAAUGAUAAUACAUGAGCAUCCUCUUUUUAAUGUAAGGUCCCCUCUGGCAUGAAUAGAUUGUUACAGCCAGUUCAUUUUCCAUGUUUCCAGCAGAUUAACUGCUUGUCUGAACUCGUGAAAUAGGAAUGAUGAGCCUCCGUGGAGUUGAAGGGGCUUCCUGAUGAACUCAUCUGUUUUCGUCUUUUGUAAUGAGAAGUUACCACUGUGCCCAGAAUGUUCUGCUUCUCUGAAGGCUUGCAGUUCUCACUUUAUACAGCAGCGGUUCCUGAAAUGAUGUCAGCCUCCCAGUAUCUUCUGAAUGAGUCUUCAUUCUAUGUCUCCUUAUCCAUAAUAGAAGCCAUAUGGCCCAGGUAUGUUUUAUUUAGACAACAUGAUGCCAUAAAUGUUUUAAAAUAAGUUACUAACAUUUAAAAAUGGGGAGAUCGCAAGAAAUCUGGUUUCAGAUUUGCUCUGUUAGGGGAUGAAUCAGAAGCAAGAGUGCAAGGUUUGAUUUAAAAGUUAUUCUGCUGCUUCUCUUUGCAUACCUAGUUCUAUAAUAAAUGUUAGUUUGCAUUUGCCCA